UUCCUCACAAAGUUGAAACAACUUAAAACUUUUCUGUUCGGUUAACGAUUCAAACAGUUAUAAUUGUACAUGGCUUAGAAGUUAAGAGUAAAUACUGCUUUCUUAAUUAUGAUUUUUGAGUAAAUGUUUUUUUCCGAGCUCCGCAUGUGGACGUCAUGACGUCAUGACGUCUUCUCUCUAACCUGAACGACGUUGACAGAAAAUUCUGUUCAAUAUGGCUGCCCUUCUCGAGCGACUGGAGAACACAUUUGGAGAAACUUGCUGAAGACCAAAGACAAAAAGACAGAAGAAAAAUUCAGACUGCAAUUAAUUUCAGGUGGAGACAGUAAACACAGAUCUACCAAGGGUCAGUGGCACAGUUCACCUUUUGUGGAGGCGCCUGAUAUCAAUGUGAAACGCACUGCAGUACUUCGUGCCCUUCCUGUAUACCUGCGGGAUGAGGACCCAGAAUUCUUUUAGACAUGUAAUGCGGACGCAUUGGAUGAGUCGACCCUCAUUGACACUUCAGUUGCCCUUCUCACAGACGGCGCUUCCCAGUCCAGUCCAUUUUACUUCCUCAAGCAUGGCUGUUGUGGUGAAAGGCGGCUAGGUGAUGCAUGAUAUUCCCAGAUUUGCAGAUGCAUUUUCUUUAUUGUUUGGCUUGAUCUAUGCUCUGCAUUUAGACUACCCCAGGAAGCUGGUUCACACAUUUGCCUUUGUCCAAAAUAUCUUCAUGGGGCUUGAUGACGGCAAACCCCUGAAACCCCUGCCUACAUGCUCUUAAGGAAUAUAAGGCAAUGUUUGUUAGGACACGCACUCUGUUACUGAGCACUUUGUUUGAAGCACUUUAAGCACUUUGUUUACUACAGGCUUUGGGUGGAUUUAACUCCAUCAGUUUACCUAAUUUUCCUAUACUUGACUGCCUUAUCUGGUUAUUUGGAAGCUGAUCGUCUUUGUACCCAUUUUAAAAAAUUGUUUUUCAUUUCUAUUUAAAAAAAAAGUGAUUAGUAUUUGACUUUUUGUUUUGCAUUUUUGUGUAUUUUGAGAAAGAUGCAAUUAGGACUGAUGUCGUCCUUUGUGAUUUUAUAAAAAGAUAAAUGUUCUACACAGAAUUUAUAAUGCUCACUUUAUGGUGCCGAUGUCCAUGUUAGUUGUUUUAUAAAAACAUUUGUGAUGUUUUUAAAUUUUCAUGAAAAAAUGUUAA